CACGUAGGGUGCGAGCGUUGUCCGGAAUUAUUGGGCGUAAAGAGCUCGUAGGCGGUGUGUCGCGUCGGCCGUGAAAACCUGCAGCUUAACUGUGGGCUUGCGGUCGAUACGGGCAUCACUGGAGUUCGGCAGGGGAGACUGGAAUUCCUGGUGUAGCGGUGAAAUGCGCAGAUAUCAGGAGGAACACCGGUGGCGAAGGCGGGUCUCUGGGCCGAUACUGACGCUGAGGCGCGAAAGCCAGGGGAGCGAACGGG
rnacentral:rRNA from 1 species